ensembl:lncRNA
GAAAGAUUCCUCCAGAAAGAAAGUCGGGGACCUUUACUUUUCUAGAAGAAAUAAAUACAUUAUUGGCUCUGAAGGACGUGGCACAGUAUAUCUUGGCCUGAAGGAAGAUGGCACUGAGGUGGCCAUUAAACGAAUAAUUAAGGACCAACAGGAAAGCAAAUACUUUGAAAAUGAACUUAAGCAUCUACGAGAUUUAAAUCUUGAGAGUAAGAACAUUGUCAGGUACGUGGACUUAGCAGAGGAUGAAGACUUUUAUUAUCUUGCACUACAGCUUUGUGAAUAUGAUCUAGAGGACUACAAUGAAAAACUUCAAGUUCUUCACCGUGCUGAAGUGAUACAUCGCGAUAUAAAGCCUGGAAAUGUUUUGAUAGAUUCAGGAAAAAAUGCAAGGCUGGCUGACUUUGACUUAAGUAGUAAACUGGAGGAGGGCAGAAGCACAGUGCAUACUGCUAGAGCUGGUACACAAGGCUGGGAAGCUACAGAGAUCCUGAAUCAAGAAGAAACAGUUUACAAGAUGAGCUCAGACAUCCAGAAAAGAGGCAGUCCUUAGGAAGCUGGGAGAUAGGCCUGAAAUCCAGAACUAUGAGACUUUAGCAAAACUUCACAAACUCUACGUAGAGAAAGGGCACUCAGAGGGAACAGACCCAGCAGCAACACUGACCAUCAAUGAGGCCUUCAGUGAACUGAAAAUCGAGAACGAAAAGAAGUAAGUUCUAAGUUAUUGAAAGAAGUCACUUUUGCUCAUGAAGGCUGCAUUCAUUUGAUCAGAUAUGGUAAAACAAAUAUUGUGAAAUAUUUUUAGAAUUUAAUAUAACAUUUCUCUAUUUUUAUACAUUUUAAAAUAUCAUUAAUUCCUGCGGUUCAAUCAGUAUCAUUACUCCACUCUUCAGUGUCACGUGAUCCUUCAGAAAUCAUGCUAAUAUGGCAAUUUUUUAUUUUUUUUUUGCUUAAAAAACAUUUAUUGUUAUUGUUGAAAACAGUUGCCUAAUAUUUUUUUUAUGAUAACCAUGAUACACCAUUCAAAAGUCUGGAGUAAGAUUUAAAAAAGGCGAUACUUUUAUUCAGCAAAGAUGCAUUAAAUUGAUCAAAAGUGACAGUAAAGACAUUUAUAAUGUUACAGAAGUUUUGUAUUUGUAUUUUUUUUUUUUUACUUUUAUAUUCAUCAAAAAUGUACCACAUUUUCCAGAGAAAUAUGAGGCAGCACAACUGUUUUCAACAUUAGUAAUAAUUAUAAAUGUUUCUUGAGCAGCAAAUAAUCAUAUUAGAAUAAUUUCUGAAGGAUUAUUUGUAAGUCGCUUUGGAUAAAAGCGUCUGCUAAAUGAUUAAAUGUAAAUGUAAAUGUAAAUGGAUUAUGUGACAUUGAAGACUGGAGUAAUGAUGCUGAAAAUUCAGCUUUGAUCACAGGAAUAAAUUACAUUUUAACAUACA